GCCGAGGUGGCGGAACCUGGUAGACGCGCUGCGCUCAGGACGCAGUGAGGAUUACCCCUCGUGCGGGUUCGAAUCCCGCCCUCGGCA
rnacentral:tRNA from 1 species